rnacentral:tRNA from 1 species
GGGGCCAUAGCUCAGUUGGUUAGAGCGCUUCCCUGUCACGGAAGAGGUCGCGGGUUCGAGACCCGUUGGUCCCG